UACGUAGGUGGCAAGCGUUAUCCGGAUUUAUUGGGCGUAAAGGGAACGCAGGCGGUCUUUUAAGUCUGAUGUGAAAGCCUUCGGCUUAACCGGAGUAGUGCAUUGGAAACUGGGAGACUUGAGUGCAGAAGAGGAGAGUGGAACUCCAUGUGUAGCGGUGAAAUGCGUAGAUAUAUGGAAGAACACCAGUGGCGAAAGCGGCUCUCUGGUCUGUAACUGACGCUGAGGUUGGAAAGCGUGGGUAGCAAACAGG
rnacentral:rRNA from 1 species